rnacentral:misc_RNA from 1 species
AUUCCGUAGGUGAACCUGCGGAAGGAUCAUUAUUGUAUAACCGAGGUGCGAGGGCUGUCGCUGACCCGAAAGGUCGUGCACGCCCGACGGCCCUCACACACAUCCAUCUCACCCCUAUGUGCACCACCGCGUGGGUCCCCCUUUGGCUUGUCCGGAGGGGGGCUUACGCUUUCACACAAACUUUGUAUGCAGUGUAGAAUGUAUUUUUUGUUUUUGCGAUCACGCAAUCAAUACAACUUUCAACAACGGAUCUCUUGGCUCUC